GCUCGGAGAAUAUUUGGUAGUCAGCCUGUUCAGUAGUCAACGUCGUUUGCACAUCCUUCAAUCUGCGAUGGGGUGGGAAGGACACGUGAAUAAAAAGGAAAAAGGUGAGAAGCAGCUGCAACAAAAGCGAGAGUAGAAGGAGGUCCAAGAAGACCGAAAGGAGCUGCAGGAAGACGACAAGGAGCUGCAAGGAGAAAGGAAAAACGGGGAGAGGCAGACAGAUGGAAAAAUAAAAAAAUUAUUGAAAAGACUUCUGUAUAAUCGCGGCGGACACCGGGGCGGCCGAGGAGGCUACCGCGGCAGACAGCGAGGCG